rnacentral:rRNA from 1 species
AGAGUUUGAUCCUGGCUCAGGACGAACGCUGGCGGUGUGCUUAACACAUGCAAGUCGAACGGUAAGGCCCUUUCGGGGGUACACGAGUGGCGAACGGGUGAGUAACACGUGAGUAACCUGCCCUCAUCUCUGGGAUAACAGUCGGAAACGGUUGCUAAUACUGGAUAUGAGCCUGCAAGGCAUCUUGUGGGUUGGAAAGAUUUUUUGGUUGGGGAUGGACUCGCGGCCUAUCAGCUUGUUGGUGAGGUAGUGGCUCACCAAGGCUUCGACGGGUAGCCGGCCUGAGAGGGCGACCGGCCACAUUGGGACUGAGAUACGGCCCAAACUCCUACGGGAGGCAGCAGUGGGGAAUAUUGCACAAUGGACGGAAGUCUGAUGCAGCAACGCCGCGUGCGGGAUGACGGCCUUCGGGUUGUAAACCGCUUUCAAUUGUGACGAAGCUUUUUGUGACGGUAGCAGUAGAAGAAGCACCGGCUAACUACGUGCCAGCAGCCGCGGUGAUACGUAGGGUGCGAGCGUUGUCCGGAUUUAUUGGGCGUAAAGAGCUUGUAGGUGGUUUGUCGCGUCGGGAGUGAAAACUCAGGGCUUAACUCUGAGCUUGCUUUCGAUACGGGCUGACUUGAGGGAGGUAGGGGAGAAUGGAAUUCCUGGUGGAGCGGUGGAAUGCGCAGAUAUCAGGAGGAACACCGGUGGCGAAGGCGGUUCUCUGGACCUUUCCUGACGCUGAGAAGCGAAAGCGUGGGGAGCGAACAGGCUUAGAUACCCUGGUAGUCCACGCCGUAAACGGUGGGUACUAGGUGUGGGGGACAUUCCACGUUCUCCGUGCCGUAGCUAACGCAUUAAGUACCCCGCCUGGGGAGUACGGCCGCAAGGCUAAAACUCAAAGGAAUUGACGGGGACCCGCACAAGCGGCGGAGCAUGCGGAUUAAUU